rnacentral:rRNA from 1 species
GACGAACGCUGGCGGCGUGCUUAACACAUGCAAGUCGAGCGGUAAGGCCCUUUCGGGGGUACACGAGCGGCGAACGGGUGAGUAACACGUGGGUGACCUGCCCUCAGCUCUGGGAUAAGCCUGGGAAACCAGGUCUAAUACCGGAUAUGACUCCAUGACGCAUGUUGUGGGGUGGAAAGCCUUGUGUGGCUGAGGAUGGGCCCGCGGCCUAUCAGCUUGUUGGUGGGGGGAU